rfam:Brugia pahangi genome assembly, scaffold: BPAG_scaffold0000050
GUCCGUCUGGCCGAGUGGUCUAAGGCGUUGCGUUCAGGUCGCAAUCUACUCCGGUAGGCGCAGGUUCGAAUCCUGCGGCGGACA